GGGGUGUGAAUGUGUUAUUGAUGGGUGGGCUGAUCACAUGACAGCACACGGAGUGACCAGAGUGACAGUGACAAGUGGAGCUGACUGAGGUGACAGACAGGAAGGACAACAAAGAUAAGGAGAGACAGACAGAGGAAGAUGAGGAGGAGGAGGAGGAGUGUGAGAUGGACAAGAAGAAGAAGAAAUGGACAGCAACUGAGUGUCCAGCCAGAGACAGGGGGACAAGGACACAAGGGGGAUCAGGACAGCAGACAGUGUGGACAGGAGGAGAGGGGGACAUGACAGUCUGGGGGCUGAGGGUCAUUUGGAACAAACAAGAAAGAGCAGAGCAGCAGACGGGGGGAUCAGUGGACAAGAGGAAGAAACAAGAUGGAGGAUGAGAGACGAGCAGGAGAUAAAAUGAGAGAAGACAUGAGAGUGAGGAGGAGAAGAAGAGAAAAUGAAGAGAGACGGAGCACUAGAGAUACAGACAGGAAGUGACCGCAGGGGGACAGAGGGGGCAACAGCACAUCAACUGGACAGACCACCUUCUUUAUGAAAUGUGACGCGACCAGCAGGCCUUCAGAGGAUGUUGACCAAUCGGCUGUGGAGUAUCGGGAUCAGUGAGAGUGAGAAGAGGAACCUGAGGUCACUACGGGAGGAGCUGAGGGGGUCUGGACGUCAGCUGACUAUCAUCACAUGAGAAGACCAGCAGUGGUGAUCAGACUGACCCCCCUGUCAGUGACGGAGCCCCCCAUCCACUCUCCCUAAAUUCUCCUCUUUCUUCUUUUUCUUCUCCUCUCAGCUCUGCUCCUCAUUUAAUAAACUCUCCAUGUCCCCUCAG